rnacentral:tRNA from 1 species
GCCCCCGUAGCUCAAUAGGAUAGAGCGCACCCCUCCUAAGGGUGAGGUUGCCCGUUCAAUUCGGGCCGGGGGCGCCA